rnacentral:tRNA from 1 species
ACCAUCAUCGUCUAGUGGUUUAGGAUACCAGGUUUUCAUAUACAUAGAGAUUUUCUGGGGACCGGAGUUCGAACCUCGUGAUGGUG